UCCUCUGUGGCGCAAUUGGCUAGCGCGUCUGACUGUUAUCAGCUUAUGCAACUAUCAGGGUUGGUUACAACAUUCUCUCAAAAAAUACAUGAAUUCUAACACAUUUCAGAGGUUGGAAGUUCAAGCCUUCCCGGAGGAG